rnacentral:rRNA from 1 species
AAGGUAAUAGUCCUGUAUGUUAAACGAGAAGACUUCAGAUAUGAUCCAGAGUACCACGGGACACGUGAAACCCUGUGGGAAGCAGGAGGGACCCCCCUCCAAGGCUAAAUACUACCUAGUGACCGAUAGCGUAUAGUACCGUGAGGGAAAGGUGAAAAGACCCCCGGGAGGGGAGUGAAAUAGAACCUGAAACCCUGCACUUACAAGCUGUGGAAGCACAUUUCUUGUGUGACCGCGUACUUUUUGUAGAACGGGCCAACG